rnacentral:rRNA from 1 species
AACGAACGCUGGCGGCAUGCCUAACACAUGCAAGUCGAACGAGACCUUCGGGUCUAGUGGCGCACGGGUGCGUAACGCGUGGGAAUCUGCCCUUGGGUUCGGAAUAACAGCGAGAAAUUGCUGCUAAUACCGGAUGAUGACGUAAGUCCAAAGAUUUAUCGCCCAAGGAUGAGCCCGCGUAGGAUUAGCUAGUUGGUGAGGUAAAGGCUCACCAAGGCGACGAUCCUUAGCUGGUCUGAGAGGAUGAUCAGCCACUCUGGGACUGAGACACGGCCCAGACUCCUACGGGAGGCAGCAGUGGGGAAUAUUGGACAAUGGGCGAAAGCCUGAUCCAGCAAUGCCGCGUGAGUGAUGAAGGCCUUAGGGUUGUAAAGCUCUUUUACCCGGGAUGAUAAUGACAGUACCGGGAGAAUAAGCUCCGGCUAACUUCGUGCCAGCAGCCGCGGUAAU